rnacentral:rRNA from 1 species
UGGGGAAUUUUGGACAAUGGGCGAAAGCCUGAUCCAGCAAUGCCGCGUGUGUGAAGAAGGCCUUCGGGUUGUAAAGCACUUUUGUCCGGAAAGAAAUCCUUGGCUCUAAUACAGUCGGGGGAUGACGGUACCGGAAGAAUAAGCACCGGCUAACUACGUGCCAGCAGCCGCGGUAAUACGUAGGGUGCAAGCGUUAAUCGGAAUUACUGGGCGUAAAGCGUGCGCAGGCGGUUUGCUAAGACCGAUGUGAAAUCCCCGGGCUCAACCUGGGAACUGCAUUGGUGACUGGCAGGCUAGAGUAUGGCAGAGGGGGGUAGAAUUCCACGUGUAGCAGUGAAAUGCGUAGAGAUGUGGAGGAAUACCGAUGGCGAAGGCAGCCCCCUGGGCAAGUACUGACGCUCAUGCACGAAAGCGUGGGGAGCAAACGGAUUAAUACCCUGGGUAGUCCACGCCCUAAAACGAUGUNAACUAGUUGUUGGGGAUUCAUUUUCCUUAGUAACGUAGCUAACGCGUG